rfam:Cochliobolus sativus ND90Pr unplaced genomic scaffold COCSAscaffold_6, whole genome shotgun sequence.
GGCCUAAUGGCCCAAUGGCAAGGCGCUUGACUACGAUUCAUUCGACAUCAAGAGAUUCCAGGUUCGACCCCUGGUUAGGUCA